GUGCUCGCUUCGGCAGGACGUAUAAUAAAAUUGGAACGACACAGAGAAGAUCAGCAUGGCCCCUGCACAAGGAUGACACACAAAUUCGUGAAGCGUUCCAUGUUUAA
rnacentral:snRNA from 1 species